GAAAGUUCAGCAAAUAAAACUCUCUGAGCGGCACUCAGGUAGCAGCCACGCUCAGAUAAUGGCGGCCCAACAGCAGCAGCUUUUGUUACCGUGUCAAGAUCUCAGGGGAGGGGGGCAACAAUGGUCCUAAGUACCCUGCCAACAUGAAGAUUCUGGUACUAAUCCUGUUGUAUACAAGGUUCCUGUUGGCCAGGAGAUACUGUAUAUAAUAAAGUGGAUAACAGACACGUCAAAGAUACAAAACAUAUACAGUUUUGUUGAUUUAAACAGUGCAGAAAUCAAUGUGAUGCCUAUUGUCUAACCUUUAGAGUGAAUAAAUCAUUUCAUUUUG